AGAACUGUUCUUCACCGGACUCGAAGCCUGUCUUGUGGUCAACUCUUCUCUGCACCUCAAGUCCGCCAUCAUACAUGGCAAGCCAACUGGACAAACUGGUUACAUUGGAAAAGCCGUCCAAAUGAAGAAUGAAGGAAGUUCUGUGCUGACAUUGUGGAAAAAGCUGUAGUAAGAGCCAGAGAGCUGGAGAAGGGAGAUUGGUGACCGGAGGAACAUUCCGGGACUCGUCUUUGGUCAUCUUCUGCAGAGUUUCAGCAGUGACGCUGUUGGGUCGAAUGACGGCUUCGUUGCUUGCCCUGAGGAAUUUUUCCUGUCAUAGAAGUAUUUCUGACCUAAGAAUGCUUUGUUGUGCACUCUGGACUGCUUGUUAAGCAAACAUUCUUAUCUUAGAUCUUGAUAAGAACGUAAGACCGCCACUAACUUCCCUCUUCUGACAUCACAUGUGUGGCUUAAUGUCCAGCAAGGUCAGACAUGCUACUCUUCUCAUAGUUUUAGCUAUUGUUUAUUAAUAUACAGUGCUCAGCAUUUAUAAGUACACCCCCCACAAACCUCUCUUUUAAAUUCAUAUUUCA